GUGCAGCAGUCGCGAAACUUUACAAUGCGGGAAACCGCGAUAAGGGGACACCGAGUGCCAGCAUACUAUGUUGGCUGUCCACAUGUGUAAAUAGCAUGUGUUAGCAAGGGCCGGGCAAGACCGGUGCCAGCCGCCGCGGUAACACCGGCGGCCCGAGUGGUAAUCACUAUUAUUGGGUCUAAAGGGGUCCGUAGCCGGUUUGGUUAGUCUUCCGGGGAAAUCUGAUAGCUCAACUAUUAGGCUUCCGGGUGAUACUGUCCGACUUGGGACCGGGAGAGGCAAGAGGUACUACAGGGGUAGGAGUGAAAUCUUGUAA
rnacentral:rRNA from 1 species